UGGGGAAUUUUGGACAAUGGGCGAAAGCCUGAUCCAGCAAUGCCGCGUGUGUGAAGAAGGCCUUCGGGUUGUAAAGCACUUUUGUCCGGAAAGAAAUCCUUGGCUCUAAUACAGUCGGGGGAUGACGGUACCGGAAGAAUAAGCACCGGCUAACUACGUGCCAGCAGCCGCGGUAAUACGUAGGGUGCAAGCGUUAAUCGGAAUUACUGGGCGUAAAGCGUGCGCGGGCGGUUUGCUAAGACCGAUGUGAAAUCCCCGGGCUCAACCUGGGAACUGCAUUGGUGACUGGCAGGCUAGAGUAUGGCAGAGGGGGGUAGAAUUCCACGUGUAGCAGUGAAAUGCGUAGAGAUGUGGAGGAAUACCGAUGGCGAAGGCAGCCCCCUGGGCCAAUACUGACGCUCAUGCACGAAAAGCGUGGGGGAGCAAAACAGGAUUAGAUACCCCUGGUAGUCCACGCCCUAAANGAUGUCAACUAGUUGUUGGGGAUUCAUUUCCUUAGUAACGUAGCUAACGCGUGAAGUUGACCGCCUGGGGAGUACGGUCGCAAGAUUAAAACUCAAAUGAAUU
rnacentral:rRNA from 1 species